rnacentral:rRNA from 1 species
CGGGAAACUGGAGAUAAUUCCGAAUAGGUCAAAUAUGCUGGAAUGCUUUUUGGCCAAAAGACCUCGGUUGCCUAAGGAUGGAUCUGCGGUCUAUCAGGUUGUAGUGGGUGUAACGUACCUACUAGCCUACGACGGAUAUGGGUUGUGAGAGCAAGAGCCCAGAGAUGGAUUCUGAGACAUGAAUCCAGGCCCUACGGGGCGCAGCAGGCGCGAAAACUUUACAAUGCGGGAAACCGCGAUAAGGGGACACCGAGUGCCAGCAUUUAUGUUGGCUGUCCACAUGUGUAAACGGCAUGUGUUAGCAAGGGCCGGGCAAGACCGGUGCCAGCCGCCGCGGUAACACCGGCGGCCCGAGUGGUAAUCACUUUUAUUGGGUCUAAAGGGUCCGUAGCCGGUUUGAUCAGUUCUUCGGGAAAUCUGACAGCUCAACUGUUAGGCUUCCGGGGAAUACUGUCAGACUUGGGACUGGGAGAGGUAAGAGGUACUACAGGGGUAGGAGUGAAAUCUUGUAAUCCCUGUGGGACCACCAGUGGCGAAGGCGUCUUACCAGAACAGGUCCGACGGUGAGGGACGAAAGCUGGGGGCACGAACCGGAUUAGAUACCCGGGUAGUCCCAGCCGUAAACGAUGUUCGCUAGGUGUCAGGGGCGGUGCGACCGCUUCUGGUGCCGUAGGGAAGCCGUGAAGCGAACCACCUGGGAAGUACGGCCGCAAGGCUGAAACUUAAAGGAAUUGGCGGGGGAGCACUACAACGGGUGGAGCCUGCGGUUUAAUUGGACUCAACGCCGGAAAACUCACCGGGGGCGACAGCAAGAUGUAGGUCAAGCUAAAGACUUUACCUGAAUCGCUGAGAGGAGGUGCAUGGCCGUCGUCAGUUCGUACUGUGAAGCAUCCUGUUAAGUCAGGCAACGAGCGAGACCCA